UUUAUAACUCUUGGGAUUGAUGUUUAUACCCUUCAGCUAUUUCCAGUUAAUUUUUAAUGCCAUAAUCAUUAUGUAUUAUGAUUAUCAUUACCAUACCAACUCUGCUGUCUCUGGUUUUUACAAGAGUAACACAUUUAAAUUUACAGAGGUAAGAAUUUCCUUGGAGAAAUAGGUGCUGGUGAUAAUAGGAGUAUCUUUCUUUUCCAUAUCAACAUAAUUAUAAUAAAUAACUCACAGAUUUAAAGGCUUAUUUUGUGCCAGGCAUUCUGCUGAGUGCUUUACAUACAUGUCUCAUGUAAUCCUCCCAACAGCUCUGCAGGACAGGAGUUUAUGAUUAUCUUGAUUUUAUAGAAUAGUAAUGUAAUGCUCAGAGAGGUUAAACAUCUGGUUAGUCACACAGCUAAUCAAUACUUAGUUUAAGAUUUGAGACUGGAUUACAGGCGUGAGACACCAUGCCAGCCAGUUUUGUGUUUUUUUUAAAUGAAGAACUGUUUAUUGACACCGUCUAUGUGUUGGGAAUUGUUCUAGGAGAAAUAAAAGUGACCAAGACGUUGGGUUCUUGCUGAGGAUCUCACAGUCAUGCAAACUGAUAAUUAAAAUACAAUUAAUGGAAUUCUUGAGAUAACAUGCUGUGAGCUAUAUUUAUAGAUCUUGGGGAAUGUACAUCUUCUAUACUCCCUCAAAAUAUAUCUACGAAUUAUAGUCUCCCAGGUUCUGUAUACUGUAGUAGGUCAGGAAGAUCUCUUUCUUUUGUCAUCAAGUCUGGCCUAAAAUAAAAACUUGGAACUUUUGAGACAGAACGAACUUCCAGUUUCCAUCACUGCUAUUUACUAUUAAAUUUAGUCAAGACACUUAUCUUCUCUAAGCCUCAAUUUCUUUUUAAAACUGGAGAUAAUAAAUAUCAACCUCUAAGGAUUGUUAAAGGUUUAAGAUUUGGUAUUUUAAAAAAUUUAAUAUAAUAUUGUUUUACAAAACUACUGGAAAACCGAGUUCCUGCCAAAUGAGCAGGUGUGCCAUAAAUGUUUGUUCCCUUGCCUUCAAAAAGACGCAUGAAAUGAUGGGCAUGUUAGUCCUUUUGUUAUUGUGAGAGUCCUGCAUAGUUUGUUCUGUGACUCACUUAAUUUACAAGUCCCUAGCCCCACAUUAUUGGUAUCAGCAGUUUACUGUUUAGACUAAAGAAGAAAGACAGUGAAGAAGAGAAGGAAGGGAAUGAAGAAGAGAAAGAUUCCCGAGAUGUUCUUGACCCCCGAGACCUCCACGAUACUCGAGACUUUAGAGACCCGAGAGACCUCAGAUGUUUUAUAUGUGGAGAUGCUGGACAUGUACGAAGGGAGUGCCCAGAGGUCAAGCUGGCCCGUCAGAGGAAUAGCAGUGUGGCAGCAGCCCAGCUGGUCCGCAACCUUGUAAAUGCUCAACAGGUGGCUGGUUCAGCUCAGCAACAGGGUGAUCAGUCCAUAAGGACUAGACAGUCAUCAGAAUGUGUAAGUACUCUGCCUGUGAAUGUGUUAGUCUUGACUGAUGAUAGCAGUAUCUUUAAUGGGUGAUAGUGUUUUCUCUCAGACUGGCUAAUACAAUCUUCCAGAUUACACAGUGCUUUGUAUAUAUGUCCUUGCUAGGCACAUAAGGUGGAAUGAGCAUUCCUUUUGGAAUAAUGUAGAUCUGGGUUUCUGUCUACAGAGAAGCUACUUAAUUUAUAUGAGCCUACUCUUCAAUUGUACAAUAACUACCUAAUAAGAUGGAUUAAAAAUAAGGUAAUGACUUUGAGGUUUCAGACUUUGCUUAGUGGAAAAAUAUCAGUACCAUUAAUAAAAAUAGACCAAAAAAUUGAGAUGUUUUAGGCAUUUAGUGUUGUUAGGGCAAUAUAUACAUGGCAUUUUGCUUGCAUGAAACUUCUGUCUUCUCAUAGCUUGACCUGUGGAUACCUAGUGAAAUACACCCUGUAAAAAAACAGUAUUGAAUGAGAAUUCAGACUCAUAAGUUUAUUUUACUAUCUUUUCUUUUUUUUUAAGAUGGAGUCUCACUCCAUUGCCUAGGCUGGAGUGCAGUGGCGUGUUCUCGGCUCACUGCAACCCUACAAUCCACACCCCUGGGAUCAUGCAAUUCUGUCUCCAUCUCCUGAGUAGCUGAACUGCAGGCAAUACUAUCACGCCCAGCUAAUUUUUGUAUUUUUAGUAUAGACUGGGUUUCACCAUAUUGGUCGGGCUAGUCUUGAACUCCUGACCUCAGGUGAUCCACCUGCCUUGGCUCCCCACAGUGCUGGGAUUACAGGUGUGAGCCAUUGCGCCCAGCCCAGACUCAUAAGUUUAAUAUUGUUUGUUGAGUUGCUCUUAACCUUUGUGUAAAUCUAUAUUCACCUUGUACUUCUUAAUUAAUAAUGACUCUAAAUAACACUCUAAAUCUGACAUAAUAUUCAGUGCUUUACACUUAGCAAAUUUAAUCCUUGGAGUGGCCAUGUGAAGUGGUAGGUAUUAGUAUCAUCAAAUUUUACAAAUUGGGAAACUGAGAAUAAGAGAGUAUAAAAAUCAAACCGAAGUCUUUCUAGCAUCAAAUCCAUUAACCGUUUAACAUGCUAAAUCUAAUGUGAUUUGUGUUUUAGAAAAAACAUUCAAGUAUUUGAAGAGUAUUAGGGAGAAUCUUUGGAAAACAUUUAGGAAAUUUUCCACCCUCACCUCAAACACUUGAAUACCUAUUAUGUGCUUGAUACUUUCAUAAACAACAAUAAUCACAUUUAAUGUAGUUAACAUUUGUUGAGUGUAAACUAUGUGCUGUACAUGCAUUCAUUCUUUGUGAUUAUAAAAUAUUUCAAAAGUACAGAAAAGUAUAGAAAAUAAAUCUCUAUGUAUCAUUACCAGGCUUUAACAGUUUUUAACAUUGUUAUUUUAGCUUUAUUAAAAAAUCACCCUCAGUUGAACACCCUGUACAUUCUUCUUUGAUCCCAUUCCUAUCUUAAAAGCUUCCUACCAUCCUUCCCUUGCUACAGAAAUGUAUCUGCUAUCUUGAACUUGGUGGUUAUAUGUUCCACAUGCAUUGUUCAGUUAAUCUUCUCAAAAACCUGAGGCAAAUUCUGAUUAUAUUUUAUAGGUAAAGAAACCGAGGUUUCAGUUUCUUGCCUGAGGUCAAUAGACACUUGGAAUCAGAACGCGAACCCUCAGGCUCUCUGUCAGCAAAACUUAUGCUCUAACCACUUUUCUAUGCUGCCCUAAUUUUCAUUUUAUGCUACUAGUCCUCACUUUUCUCUCACCCGUGCUUUCGGAAAGAGUCUGUCUAAUGGACAUUGCUAUUCUGAUGUCUAACAAAGCACGUCAACAUGCCUAAAAUAUAGUUAAUCUUUCCUUUCAACCCCCAGGACUUGCCUCUUCCUCCUGUGUUUUAUAUCUCGUUGAAUGAUCCCAUUUUCUAUCUAGUUUCCAAAACUUUUCCCUCUCCUUCAACCUCUAUGUUCAGUCACUAAGUCCUGUUGUUUCUGCCUUAAAAAAAGCUAGGUGUUUGCCUCACUCCUGUAAUCCCAGCACUUUAGGAGGCUGAGGUGGGUGGAUCACCUGAGGUCGGGAGUUUGAGACCAGCCUGACCAACAUGGUAAAACCCCAUCUCUGCUAAAACUACAAAAAAUUAGCUGGAUGUGGUGGCAGGGAACCUGUCAUCCCAGCUAGUUGGGAGACUGAGGCAGGAGAAUCACUCGAACCCAGGAGGCGGAGAUUGCAAUGUGCCGAGAUUGCACCACCGCACUCCAGCGUGGGCAACACAGCGAGACUGUCUC
rnacentral:lncRNA from 10 species